GGAGGAAUACCCAAGUGGUCGAAGGGGUGGGCUUGGAAAGCUCAUAGUCUCUUAACCGGGAGCAAGGGUUCGAAUCCCUUUUCCUCCGCCA
rnacentral:tRNA from 1 species